GUUGAACGCUGGCGGCAUGCUUUGCACAUGCAAGUCGAACGGUAACAGGCCGCAAGGUGCUGACGAGUGGCGAACGGGUGAGUAAUGCAUCGGAGCGUGCCCAGUCGUGGGGGAUAACGCAGCGAAAGCUGCGCUAAUACCGCAUACGAUCUAUGGAUGAAAGCGGGGGACCGUAAGGCCUCGCGCGAUUGGAGCGGCCGAUGGCAGAUUCGGUAGUUGGUGGGGUAAAGGCUCACCAAGCCGACGAUCUGUAGCUGGUCUGAGAGGACGACCAGCCACACUGGGACUGAGACACGGCCCAGACUCCUACGGGAGGCAGCAGUGGGGAAUUUUGGACAAUGGGCGCAAGCCUGAUCCAGCAAUGCCGCGUGCAGGAAGAAGGCCUUCGGGUUGUAAACUGCUUUUGUACGGAACGAAAAGGCUCUGGUUAAUACCUGGGGCUUAUGACGGUACCGUAAGAAUAAGCACCGGCUAACUACGUGCCAGCCGCCGCCGUAA
rnacentral:rRNA from 1 species